UACGUAGGGCGCAAGCGUUGUCCGGAAUACUGGGCGUAAAGGGCUCGUAGGCGGCCAACUAAGUCCGACGUGAAAUCCCCAGGCUUAACCUGGGAACUGCGUCGGAUACUGGAUGGCUUGAAUUCGGGAGAGGGAUGCAGAAUUCCAGGUGUAGCGGUGAAAUGCGUAGAUAUCUGGAGGAAUACCGGUGGCGAAGGCGGCAUCCUGGACCGACAUUGACGCUGAUGAGCGAAAGCUAGGGGAGCAAACGGG
rnacentral:rRNA from 1 species